ensembl:snoRNA
AGAGCAGUGAUGAGCCCAACAUGCCAUCUGAGUGUGUGCGUGAAAACCCGGAGACUGUUUCUCAGCUG